CAAGGAAUUUUCGGCAAUGGGCGCAAGCCUGACCGAGCAACGCCGCGUGGUGGAUGACGGCCUUCGGGUUGUAAACACCUUUUGGGGGGGACGACAUCGACGGUACCCCCCGAAUAAGCCCCGGCUAACUCUGUGCCAGCAGCCGCGGUAAGACAGAGGGGGCAAGCGUUGUCCGGAGUUACUGGGCGUAAAGCGCACGCAGGCGGCACGGCAAGUGAGGUGUGAAAGCGGAUGGCUUAACCAUCUGAGGCCAUCUCAGACUGCCGCGCUCGAGCCGUUCAGAGGUCCCUCGAAUUGCCGGUGUAGUGGUGAAAUGCGUAGAGAUCGGCAGGAAGACCCACGGGGAAGCCAGGGGACUGGGAACGUGCUGACGCUCAGGUGCGAGAGCGUGGGGAGCGAACC
rnacentral:rRNA from 1 species